GACGAACGCUGGCGGCGUGCUUAACACAUGCAAGUCGAACGAAGUGGCGAACGGGUGAGUAAUGCGUAAUCAACCUGCCCUUCAGAGGGGGAUAACAGUUGGAAACGACUGCUAAUACCGCAUACUGAAGGAGGGGAUUGCGUCGGAUUAGCUCGUUGGAGGGGUAACGGCCCACCAAGGCGAUGAUCAGUAGCCGGGUUGGGGGGAAGGACGGCCACAUUGGGAAUGGGACACGGCCCAGGCUCCUACGGGAGGCAGCAGUGGGGAAACUUCCGCAAUGGACGAAAAUCUGGCGGAGCAACGCCGCGUGAGUGAUGACGGCCUUCGGGUUGUAAAGCUCUGUUAAUCGGGACGCGGUACCGGAAUAGGAAGCCACGGCUAACUACGUGCCAGCAGCCGCGGUAAUUC
rnacentral:rRNA from 1 species